CUUAACGACUCAAAAGGUCGUGUGACAACAAGCGACAGAAGGCACACAGAAAGCCUUCUAGCUAAACAUAAAAGACUUGAAGAGGAGACUGUCAUUUCCAAAAUAAUGACUCUCUCCGGCAAAAAGCAGAACAUUUCACCACUGUACACGUGGCUUUUUACAAAACCAAAGCCUGUGGAAAAAUGACGGAAUUCACGACAACAUAAACGGCCAGUUCAGUCAGGAAGGAUUAAUGCGCCUGAGCCCCAAAGGAGAAAUAGCAGUGCCACAAGAAUUUACUUCGUUUUUUUCCUCAGGUUGAUUUCCAAACACAAACGCAGUACUUAUACAAGAGGACAGCAUCCUAUCCACGACCAGUGAUGCUCGCAACUAGUGACUCCCUGCUCGAGCGCCGCCAACUCUAGUGUACAGCUUGAUUCCAGCCAUCAGGGGGCGCUGUAUCCACUAGAAAGAGGCGACGGGCUGAAUAUUAGUGCACGCGCUUCCCCCAGGAACUUAUUUCUGUUUUUUUUUUUUUUUUUUUUUUUUUUCCCUUUAUUAAAACAGAUAGAACAAAACAAUAAUUUUCAAAUAACAAAAAUAGAGACAGAGAACAUUACAACAACAUAAUACAAAAAAAGUGUUUAAAAUAAAUAAAUAAAUAACAUUACCAAAAACAAAGAAGGAUACAGAAAGAGGGCAUUACUCACAUGAAAGAAAAUCUAAACAUUUAACAAGGCAAAGAGUCCAUAAGUCGUGCAUAUUUUACAAGUUCUGAUCGCUUUUGGGUUAAGAGAUGAUGAGAUUGUAUUUAAAUAAUGUUUUAUCUCAUGCAAAAAUACCAAAUGAAUUGGUUUACAGUUUGAGAAUUUACAUUUAUGAAUAUAAAAUCUGCACAGGAAAAUAAUUAGAUUUAUUAUAAAGCAGGCAUUAGAAUCCGUUACAAAAAAUCCAAAUAUAACAAUUUGGGGAUUCAUACAAAAAUUAACAAACUUAUUUCAGGGCAUUAGUUUGCU